GUGUCCCAGUGGUAGCACACCAGGCUCACACGCCGCAGGUCGCGAGUUCAAGCCCGG
rnacentral:tRNA from 1 species